rnacentral:rRNA from 1 species
UACGAACUGUGCGAACGUUAUUCGGAAUCACUGGGCUUAAAGGGUGCGUAGGCGGCGGCACAAGUCAGGUGUGAAAUCCCCCGGCUCAACCGGGGAACAGCGCUUGAAACUAGGUCGCUCGAGUGAGGCAGGGGUAUGUGGAACUUCCGGUGGAGCGGUGAAAUGUGUAGAUAUCGGAAGGAACGCCGGCGGCGAAAGCGGCAUACUGGGCCUUGUCUGACGCUGAGGCACGAAAGCUAGGGGAGUGAACGGGAUUAGAUACCCCGGUAAUCCUAGCCGUAAACACUGAGCACUGGAGGAGAGGGGCUUCGGCCUUUCUCCUCGCAGCGAAAGCGUUAAGUGCUCCGCCUGGGGAGUAUGGUCGCAAGGCUGAA